GCGGGAAAUUACGUUUUCUGAUCUGUUAUAACCCUUGGCAAUGUAGUUUUCAGGGACUGUACCUGUGAGCUCAUGAACUCCUGCACCAGAAAUGUCCAAGUGUGGAGGCAACCAACCAACCCAGACCCAGACAGACCCAGACCCCAGACCCCAGACCCCAGACCCAGACCCAAGUGAUCCAUCCGCACCGGGCAGGCAGCCAACUCCACAAGGUUCCGAACCGGCUGCACCAGGAGAGAUCUGUGAAGUCCAAUGGGCCUGGUUUUGCUGGUUGUCUGAUGCGUCUCCGGGGUGCGCACAGGCACUGGCAGCAGUGGGCAUUCGCUGGAUGGGGUUUCCUGAGUC
rnacentral:lncRNA from 1 species